UACGUAGGCAGCAAGCGUUGUUCGGAAUUACUGGGCGUAAAGAGUGUGUAGGCGGUGCUCCAAGUCUGGUGUGAAAGCCCCGGGCUCAACCUGGGAAUUGCAUUCGAGACUGAAUAGCUAGGGUACGGUAGAGGGAAGUGGAAUUUCCGGUGUAGCGGUGAAAUGCGUAGAUAUCGGAAGGAACAUCAGUGGCGAAAGCGACUUCCUGGACCAGUACCGACGUUCAGGCACGAAAGCGUGGGGAGCAAACAGG
rnacentral:rRNA from 1 species